AUUGAACGCUAGCGGGAUGCUUUACACAUGCAAGUCGAACGAGUGGCGGACGGGUGAGUAAUAUAUCGGAACGGGCCCAGUAGCGGGGGAUAACUACUCGAAAGAGGGGCUAAUACCGCAUACGAGGGGAGCGGCCGAUAUUGGAGUAGCUGGUUGGUGGGGUAAAGGCUCACCAAGGCAACGAUCCGUAGCUGGUUGGAGAGGACGACCAGCCACACUGGGACUGAGACACGGCCCAGACUCCUACGACAGGCCGCCGUGGGGAAUUUUGGACAAUGGGGGAAACCCUGAUCCAGCCAUCCCGCGUGUAUGAGAAGGCCUUCGGGUUGUAAAGUACUUUUUUCAGGGAAGCGGUAUCUGCAGAAUAAGCACCGGCUAACUACGUGCCAGCAGCCGCGGUAAUAC
rnacentral:rRNA from 1 species